rnacentral:rRNA from 1 species
UACGUAGGGGGGCGAGCGUUGUCCGGAUUUAUUGGGCGUAAAGAGCGUGUAGGCGGCCAGGUAGGUCCGUUGUGAAAACUCGAGGCUCAACCUCGAGACGUCGAUGGAAACCAUCUGGCUAGAGUCCGGAAGAGGAGAGUGGAAUUCCUGGUGUAGCGGUGAAAAUGCGCAGAUAUCAGGGAAAGAACACCUAUGGCGAAGGCAGCUCUCUGGGGACGGUACUGACGCUGAGACGCGAAAAGCGUGGGGGAGCGAACAGG